CCCCUCUAGUCCCACCCCGGUGGAGCUGGAGGCUCCCCGCCGCCCUCUCCCCUUAGCCCGGAGGCCGCCUUUGGCUGCCGGCCCGGUUUCCCGGGCUCUGGCUGAGGGCCCGGGGGGAGGGAUGGAAUAACGACUUGCUGAGGCGUUUGCGUGGGGCAGCUGGAAAGCCGAGUCUGACGGUAGGCGUGAAUUUACCAAGGGACCACACCCCUGUUGGGAAAUGCAGGGAUCUACACGUUGAGAAAGGUCAAGCGGCUUUGUAAGAUCUCAGAACGAUUCACUCGGCCAUGACUGCUGUGCACUUCCACUGCAGCUGAUGCGUGUUCCCCACCAACCCGAAAUGAGAUCUGAGGAACAGAGAGAAGCCUCCUGCAAACAUCUGUGAGACCUCCCUUCUGUUGAGUGCACUCUGCCACUCCUGGAAGUUAUCCGUUCCAUCAUGUACAUUAAGUGAUGGUGAAAACAUGUAAAAGGAGUUCCAUGCUCAAGAGCAAUGUCAACCCAGUCCUGGAUGCACUUCAAAGGUGUCUCUUCAUAUCCUGCAAACAUAGCCGGAUUUGCUAAGAGUCCUCUAGCCACCAUUAUACCUUCAAAUUGGAAAUUCAAGCAGUAAGUUACAUUAUAGUUUAAAUUCUACAUUAAAUCUUCCUGUAGGUUUUGUAGAGCACCCCUCAGGACAACCACCCAAAGCUUACAGACAAGUAAUGGGAAGAGCAAGAGGGAUGAGU